rnacentral:rRNA from 1 species
CGAACGCUGGCGGCGUGCUUUAUACAUGCAAGUCGAACGAUGGAGUUCCUUCGGGAAUGGAUUAGUGGCGAACGGGUGAGGAACACGUGAGAAACCUGCCUUUCAUUCUGGGAUAACACCGGGAAACCGGUGCUAAUACCGGAUACUCCGUCUUGGCGGCAUCGCCGAGCCGGGAAAAAAUUUUGAUGAAAGAUGGUCCCGCGGCCUAUCAGCUAGUUGGCGAGGUAAAGGCUCACCAAGGCGACGACGGGUAGCCGGCCUGAGAGGGCGACCGGCCACACUGGGACUGAGACACGGCCCAGACUCCUACGGGAGGCAGCAGUAGGGAAUAUUGGGCAAUGGGCGCAAGCCUGACCCGGGCGACGCCGCGUGAGGGAUGAAGGUCUUCGGAUUGUAAACCUCUUUCAGUAGGGAAGAAGCGAAAGUGACGGUACCUAAAGAAGAAGCACCGGCUAACUAUGUGCCAGCAACCGCGGUAAUCUGAUGGCGCGAGG